rnacentral:pre_miRNA from 1 species
ACCUUGAGAGGAACUUUUUUCUAAUGUCCAACCUAAACCUCCCUUGCUGCAGUUUAAGCCCAUUGAUUCUUGUUCUAUCCUCAGAGGCCAAGAUGAACAAGUUUUCUCCCUCCUCUUUGUGAUAGCCGUUUUCAGGUAUUUAAAAGGGUAUCAUAAGGAGGAGGGAGAAAACUUGUUCAUCUUGGCCUCUGAGGAUAGAACAAGAAUCAAUGGGCUUAAACUGCAGCAAGGGAGGUUUAGGUUGGACAUUAGAAAAAAGUUCCUCUCAAGGU